rnacentral:rRNA from 1 species
CAGCAGUAGCCGCGGUAAUACGAAGGGUGCAAGCGUUAAUCGGAAUUACUGGGCGUAAAGCGUGCGUAGGCGGUUUGUUAAGUCUGCUGUGAAAUCCCCGGGCUCAACCUGGGAAUGGCAGUGGAUACUGGCAAGCUAGAGUGUGUCAGAGGAUGGUGGAAUUCCCGGUGUAGCGGUGAAAUGCGUAGAGAUCGGGAGGAACAUCAGUGGCGAAGGCGGCCAUCUGGGACAACACUGACGCUGAGGCACGAAAGCGUGGGGAGCAAACAGGAUUAGAUACCCCGGUAGUCCCUGUCUCUUAUAA